rnacentral:rRNA from 1 species
AGCGAACGCUGGCGGCAGGCUUAACACAUGCAAGUCGAGCGGGCACCUUCGGGUGUCAGCGGCAGACGGGUGAGUAACACGUGGGAACGUACCCUUUGGUUCGGAACAACUCUGGGAAACUGGAGCUAAUACCGGAUACGCCCUUAUGGGGAAAGGUUUACCGCCGAAGGAUCGGCCCGCGUCUGAUUAGCUAGUUGGUGAGGUAACGGCCCACCAAGGCGACGAUCAGUAGCUGGUCUGAGAGGAUGAUCAGCCACACUGGGACUGAGACACGGCCCAGACUCCUACGGGAGGCAGCAGUGGGGAAUAUUGGACAAUGGGCGCAAGCCUGAUCCAGCCAUGCCGCGUGAGUGAUGAAGGCCGUUAGGUU